rnacentral:rRNA from 1 species
UUAUCCGGAAUUAUUGGGCGUAAAGGGCUCGUAGGCGGUUCGUCGCGUCCGGUGUGAAAGUCCAUCGCUUAACGGUGGAUCCGCGCCGGGUACGGGCGGGCUUGAGUGCGGUAGGGGAGACUGGAAUUCCCGGUGUAACGGUGGAAUGUGUAGAUAUCGGGAAGAACACCAAUGGCGAAGGCAGGUCUCUGGGCCGUCACUGACGCUGAGGAGCGAAAGCGUGGGGAGCGAACAGGAUUA